rnacentral:misc_RNA from 1 species
AAGUCGUAACAAGGUUUCCGUAGGUGAACCUGCGGAAGGAUCAUUAACGAGUAACUGAAACAGGUUGUAGCUGGCCUCUAAAGAGGCAUGUGCACGCCUGGCUCAUCCACUCUUCAACCUCUGUGCACUUGUAGUAGGUCGGUGGAAAAGCAAGUCUCUUUUAGAAGCUUGCUUCAGAAGCCUUCCUAUGUUUUACUACAAACGCUUCAGUUUAAGAAUGUAUCUCUGCGUAUAACGCAUUUAUAUACAA